rnacentral:sRNA from 1 species
GGAAGGAUCAUUACCGAAUUGUCAACAAGAGUUGUUGCUGGUCCCUGUAUGGGGGCAUGUGCACGCUCUGUUUACACAUCCACUCACACCUGUGCACGCUCUGUAGUUCUAUGGCCUGGGUGGGCUCUGCCCUCCUGCUGUGGUUCUAUGUCUUUACACACACACUACAACAAAGUCUCAUGGAAUGUAUGUCGCGUUUAACGCAAUGAAAUACAACUUUCAGCAACGGAUCUCUUGGCUCUCGCAUCGAUGAAGAACGCAGCGAAAUGCGAUAAGUAAUGUGAAUUGCAGAAUUCAGUGAAUCAUCGAAUCUUUGAACGCACCUUGCGCCCUUUGGCUAUUCCGAAGGGCAUGCCUGUUUGAGUAUCAUGAACACCUCAACUCUCAUGGCUUGCCGUGAUGUGCUUGGACUUUGGGGGUCUUGUUGGCCUGUGAGCCAGCUCCUCUUAAAUGAAUUAGCUCGCCGGUGUUUGGUGGCGUCACGGGUGUGAUAACUAUCUACGCUUGUGGUUCCCCACCAGGGUAACCUUCAGCAAUGAAGGUUCACCGGAGCUUAUAAAUGUCUCUCCUCAGCGAGGACAGAUUUUGACCAUUUGAUCUCAAAUCAGGUAGGACUACCCGCUGAACUUAAGCAUAUCAAUAAGCGGAGGAA